UGUGCGAUAGUAUAGUGGUUAGUAUCCCACGCUGUCACCGUGGAGACCCGGGUUCAAUUCCCGGUCGCGCAG
rfam:Micromonas sp. RCC299 chromosome 2, complete sequence.